CUGGGUGUAGCACAGUUGGUAGCGCGCGACGUUUGGGACGUCGAGGUCGCAGGUUCAAGUCCUGUCACCCAGACCA
rnacentral:tRNA from 1 species